UACAGAGGUCCCAAGCGUUGUUCGGAUUCAUUGGGCGUAAAGGGUGCGUAGGCGGCGCGGUAAGUCGGGUGUGAAAUCUCGGAGCUUAACUCCGAAACUGCAUUCGAUACUGCCGUGCUUGAGGACUGGAGAGGAGACUGGAAUUUACGGUGUAGCGGUGAAAUGCGUAGAUAUCUGGAGGAACACCGGUGGCGAAAGGCGGCG
rnacentral:rRNA from 1 species